CGUCUACAUUCCUCGCCUUCGACCCUUUCCACCUAGUCUCCUGGACACAUGCUAUGUUAACCCUCCUCUUUUGAAGAACUUUCGCCAACUCAAUGGGCUUACCCGUCAGAGUGCCUAUGUUCCACGACCCAAUCCUUAAUCUAUGAGCGUCCGCUACCCUCUUCCAACUCUUACCUCCCGCCUACCCGCAGGACCACUCCCUGUCCCCUACUCACCCCCGCCACCGUCCCACCCCUGAGGACAUGACCUUACACUAUCAUCC
rnacentral:lncRNA from 1 species